UGUUCGUCCUGGCGCAGACCUUUUCGUGGUCCUCGGGAUAAGUACUCUCCGGCUCAAGAAAGGCGUAUCAGCGUCCAAUACAUAUUUUUUGAUCUCUUCCAUACUGUAUUGGGUCUUGAUACGUUGUCGGUAGAAGAAACUAGCAUGCGC
rnacentral:ribozyme from 1 species